rnacentral:rRNA from 1 species
CCUACGGGAGGCAGCAGUGGGGAAUUUUGGACAAUGGGCGAAAGCCUGAUCCAGCAAUGCCGCGUGCAGGAAGAAGGCCUUCGGGUUGUAAACUGCUUUUGUACGGAACGAAACGGUCUGCUUUAAUACAGUGGGCUAAUGACGGUACCGUAAGAAUAAGCACCGGCUAACUACGUGCCAGCAGCCGCGGUAAUACGUAGGGUGCGAGCGUUAAUCGGAAUUACUGGGCGUAAAGCGUGCGCAGGCGGUUAUAUAAGACAGUUGUGAAAUCCCCGGGCUCAACCUGGGAAUUGCAUCUGUGGCUGUAUAGCUAGAGUACGGUAGAGGGGGAUGGAAUUCCGCGUGUAGCAGUGAAAUGCGUAGAUAUGCGGAGGAACACCGAUGGCGAAGGCAAUCCCCUGGACCUGUACUGACGCUCAUGCACGAAAGCGUGGGGAGCAAACAGGAUUAGAUACCCUGGUAGUCCACGCCCUAAACGAUGUCAACUGGUUGUUGGGUGCAUUAGUACUCAGUAACGAAGACUACGCGUGAGUAGACCGCCGUGGGAGGUACGGCCGCGAGGUAGAACGUACGAAGAAGUAGACGGCGUGAGACGUGCCGACGGACGACGACGAGGGAGGAGGG